rnacentral:rRNA from 1 species
CCUACGGGGGGCAGCAGUGGGGAAUAUUGCACAAUGGGGAAAACCCUGAUGCAGCAACGCCGCGUGAGCGAUGAAGGCCUUCGGGUGGUAAAGCCCUGUCCUAAGGGAAGAAUACUACGGUUACCUUGGGAGGAAGCCCCGGCUAACUACGUGCAGGCAGCCGCGGUAAUACGUAGGGGGCUAGCGUUAUCCGGAAUUACUGGGCGUAAAGGGUGCGUAGGCGGCCCUUCAAGUCAGAGGUGAAAGGCUACGGCUCAACCGUAGUAAGCCUUUGAAACUGUAGGGCUUGAGUGCAGGAGAGGAGAGUGGAAUUCCCAGUGUAGCGGUGAAAUGCGUAGAUAUUGGGAGGAACACCAGUUGCGAAGGCGGCUCUCUGGACUGUAACUGUCGCUGAGGCACGAAAGCGUGGGGAGCGAACAGGAUUAGAUACCCCAGUAGUC